AGUUACCAUCCCAUUGGAUUUAGUGGAGAUUGAGCCAGUGUAUAUUUUGCAAGUGCUUAGAAUAGUCCCUGACAUGUGUUCAGGAGAAUAUAAAUAUAAGAAGGGUUAUUUUGGACUUUUUAGGAGAGAAAGGACUUCCCAGGCAGAGGUAAUAGCUUGAGUAAAAACACAAAGGUGUGGAGGUGUGACGUAUCAAGAAUUUCUGACCCUUGGAGUUCCCAUCGUGGCACAGUGGUUAACGAAUCUGACUAGGAACCAUGAGGUUGCGGGUUCCAUCCCUGGCCUCGCUCAGUGGGUUGGGGAUCCGGCGUUGCUGUGAGCUGUGGUGUAGGUCACAGAUGUGGCUCAGUUCCCGCGUUGCUGUGGUUCUGAGGUAGGCUGGCGGCUAGAGCUCUGAUUCAACCCCUAGCCUGGGAACCUCCAUAUGCCUUGGGAAUGGCCCAAGAAAUGGCAAAAAGACAAAAAAAAAAAAAAAAAAAAAAAAAAGAAAGAAAUUUCUGACCUUGAUGUUGAUAUUUGCAAAAAGUGAGCUUUGUGGCAGAAAAUGAUGUCCUAUAAAAGGGUACAACCAAGGAGCCCAGUUAGGGUCAUUCGCUGGUUAUUGCAACAGCCCAAAUUAGAGAUGAUCAGGCCAGGACGGCGACAGGCUGUCUAUGGAAAGGCAAUGAGAGAUAGGAUCUGAAAACAGAGACUAUACCAAGGACAAACUACCCCCUACAGGUAUAUCCUUUCCUUUUUCUAGAAAAUAGAAUUGUAUUUGAUAAAAUCUUAUUGUUCGUCAUCAAAUUCUCUUUCAGAUUUUUACCUUCAAACCGCUCAAGAAUAUUAUAGCCUCGUAUACUAUAAUUGAUUAAUUUUAUGAUGCCCUAUUUAAAGUAAAUGGAAAUUUUAAACGUGUUUUUUAUCAUGAGAUUCACUGUCUGGCAGUAACUAGGCAGAGCAAAUAAGAUAAAAGAUGUCCUUUAUUUCAGGAGCUACUGAGUAGAAAGAAAAACAAAAAGCAACAUGGACACCAAGCCUUAAGGACAUGUGAGAAUGUGGUUUUACUCAACCCGAAAGGUUGAACAAAGAUGUGUGGACCUCUGAUUAUUAUUUCAAUGAAAAUAAAUGUCAUUUGUUGAAUAUUUACUAAAUGCCAGGUCCUGGGCCGUGUAUUAUGUACAUUAUCUCACUUGGUCGUCUCAAUAACCCUAUGAGGCAUGUACAAUUACUGUCUUUAUUUUAUAGCAGGUAAGGGAGUGAGUCUCAGAAAAAUUAUGUGACUUGCCUAAACUAUCAGGGGUCAGAAUGAUAGGGGAUAAAAUAUGCUCAAGCUUGGAUUCCAACUCAGAUUUAAUGUUAGAGCCCACACACUUAGCUUUCCUAUCCUCAGAACACCCCCCCAAAAAAGCAUUAGCAGGAAACAGGAUGUGAAAAGCUGAACAACCUCAAAUUGAGAUGAAUGCCAUUAUUCUUCAUCAAAUACUGCUCUUUCUCUGGCCAAGGUCUCUGAGGACACACUUUGGAAGGGUCAGCUUUCCUUGAUGACUGUCUCAAUCUUCAAGCUUUAUAAUUUCUCUAAACAACCCCUUGUCUCUCACUCAUCAGUUUAGUAGGGCUUUCUGUCACCUCCUUGAUGUUCUUCCAGUCCAUUCAAAGUGCUAAUGUGCAGAUACAUGGAGCCAUAGUGGGAAUGAGUGGGAAAGACCUCAGGGUCAGAGCAAAGGACUCUUAUUGUGUGACCUGGGUCAGGUGAAAUAACAUCAGCUGCAGUUUUCCCUUUCAUGUAAUGAGUUAACACCCCUUGCCCUUUAUAAUCUAAUGAUUAAUUAGCUCUGAAUUUGCCACCUGCCAGGUAUCCACAGAAACACUCCAUCCCAAGCGGAUUUACUCCUUCGACUUUGUCUCUUCUCCCCGUUGAUGUGGCCACACAGUAGUUUUCACAUUUCCACAAGCAAAACGCAAACAACAAAGACUAUGGUACAUUCUGUAACUCAAAAUAAAUGACUUUCUCAUUUUGCACUCUUUGGGGUUAUCCACAUCACGGCUUGCUUUUAUUAGCAUGACACAGUUCAGAGGUGCCUAGAUGAGUUUUACCCCCAUAUACCUCCAAGAAGCAAUCUAUCUGUGUUGUGAAGUAAUUCAUCUCAAGCUUUAUUGACCCAUGAUGUGGACUAGGGAAAAAUGUAUUAAGUGCUUUUUUUUUUUUUUUUUUUUUUUUUUUUUUGACUCAAUCGACCAAGAACACUUUGCUGGUUUUGUUUGUUUGUUUGUUUGUUUGUUUUUCCAUCUAUUCCUUGAGUGGCUCUGUUAUCUGAGGGGAACCUCCAAUUUGCACCCAGCCUGGCAUUAUUCUCCUCCCGCCCAGCAAGGGACCUGACUCAGUGGACAUUCUGACAUUUCCCCUUGUAGAAUCUCUCUUUUGACUUUCACCAACAGAAGGUAAUAUUC
rnacentral:lncRNA from 1 species